CUGGGAAUGUUAGGAUGUCACCGGGAACGUUUCACUCGAAUGAGAUUUUCUGCUCCAGCCCUACAGCUGGUGUGCCCUGUCACUCCUCUCAGGCUCUGCUUGCCUCAGAUGCAGGAGAAGUAAAGGAAUUCUUGUGAGGAUCUGGGAGACCCAGGUUCACGCCAGCGAACUUUCCAAUAGUGAAACCUGUGCUUUGUUCCUGAGACCACCCCAACAUCAUCUCUUAGUCCAAUCUCCAGUUUCCUGUCUUAUUUCUGGUCUCAGUGCUCUCAACUGUGCAAAUCCAUAAAGUAUUCUUUAAAAAAGGUGUUCCUCCCAUUGAGCAAGCCCUCAAAUGAUCCAGCUGUGAGCAGAAGUCUGCCAGAACGUGGAAACCUGGGCCACACUAUCACACUCUGGGAUGAACAAAAACAUGGAGCCAGCUCAUUAAGUUUGGGAAAAUAUCACUGUCAUUAUCAAUUGCUUUAAUUUUUAAAGGAGGAGGAAACUGGGCCUCUAUUACCAUCCAUAGCACCCAGUAAAUAAAUUAAAUUAGACCGAUUAUGAACAAAGCAGGCAGCGACAAUGGCAUCUUCAUAUAGCUGUUAUGAUGUUGACAAGCUAGACAAUACACCCUCCUGCCUCUAAAGGAGAUGUAUGAAUUUUGUAUGCCUGGUGAUUUAUUUCUCUCUUCUCUGAAUGACAGGUAUAGAGCCUGCUGUCAGCAUUACCAAGAAUUCUUUGAAAAACAAAUAGGGCUGGCGAAUCCUUAUCGCUGUUAAUACUGGGUAUUAUUUGCUCCCUCCAAAAAAAAUCCACAAGAAGAGACACAAGAAGAGACAUAUCGUGCAGCUCAGACUCUCAGAAACAUUCAGGUUUCUUUUGAUGCUCUCACCUCCAGGGCAUACAUUAUUAAUUCCGGGUGAAGCUACCUCACUGAAUUUGCCAACUGAUGAGUGAAACUUAGAUGCUUUGGUUUUAUUUUUAG